AUUGAACGCUGGCGGCAUGCCUUACACAUGCAAGUCGAACGGUAACGCGGGGGCAACCCUGGCGACGAGUGGCGAACGGGUGAGUAAUACAUCGGAACGUACCCAGUAGUGGGGGAUAGCUCGGCGAAAGCCGGAUUAAUACCGCAUACGACCUAUGGGUGAAAGCGGGGGAUCGCAAGACCUCGCGCUAUUGGAGCGGCCGAUGUCGGAUUAGCUAGUUGGUGAGGUAAAGGCNCACCAAGGCUACGAUCCGUAGCUGGUCUGAGAGGACGACCAGCCACACUGGGACUGAGACACGGCCCAGACUCCUACGGGAGGCAGCAGUGGGGAAUUUUGGACAAUGGGCGCAAGCCUGAUCCAGCCAUGCCGCGUGUGUGAAGAAGG
rnacentral:rRNA from 1 species